AAAACUAUGAUGACGAUGGUGACAAAUUUGUUGGCAAAAUUUGAUGGUGAUUGUUGUUGUUGUACUGAUAAGAGUAGAGUGAGGGAUAAGACUGCUUCAAACAUGAACCAAAUCAGCAGAUCAAAGCCAACAAAACGGCAAACUGAAAUUGUGCUCUUUUACCAAAUGGAAAUGGUUAAGGAGAACAAAUUGAUCUUCACGUUUGAUGCAACUAAAAAGGCUUGUUUUGGUGUCCUUCCACGGUAUGCAAAGGAUGAACUCUUAAUCAAAUGGUUCGAGCUUCCAAAUUGCUUUAUAUUCCAUAAUGCAAAUGCUUGGGAGGAAGGGGAUGAAGUAGUUUUGAUCACUUGCCGCCUUGAGAAUCCAGAUCUAGACAUGGUUAAUGGGCCUGUCAAAGAAAAGCUCGAGAAUUUUGGAAAUGAACUGUAUGAAAUGAGAUUCAACAUGAAAACUGGUCUGGCAUCACAGAGGAAACUAUCAGCACCUGCUGUAGAUUUUCCAAGGGUGAAUGAGAGUUACACUGGAAGGAAACAACGAUUUGUAUAUGCAACUACAUUGGACAGCAUCGCAAAGGUCACUGGAAUUAUCAAAUUUGAUUUGCAUGCGGAACCAGAGUCUGGAAAGACAAAGCUUGAAGUCGGAGGAAAUAUUCAAGGCAUUUUUGACCUAGGACCUCAUAGAUUUGGUUCAGAGGCUAUUUUUGUCCCUCGUGAUCCUGGUGUUACUUCUGAAGAAGAUGAUGGCUACUUGAUAUUCUUUGUACAUGAUGAGGUGACAGGAUCAUCAAGGUGUUUCUACUUCAAGUACACUUUUCUAAAGGGAUGUUCAUCCGUGGAUUCUGGAGAACUUGCGCUUAGAAGCUUCGGUGGAUUCUGAAGUGACUCAUCGUCGUGGAUUCGACAUUGGCGCUGUGGAUUCAACAUUUGGAGAAGCGAUUCCAUAGUGAAGAUGAUGUUAGAAGAGGUACGAGGAAUUUGAGGUUGAUUUGUGAUGUUCAUUUAUCGCAGGCUAAUGUUGGGUAUUCCAUCGUCUAUUCCCUUGCUUAUGGUUGGGUUGGGAUUACGAAUUCAUUGUUUAAGUGUGUCUUGUCACAAAAUUGCCAAAGGGGGAGAUCUAUGAAGCAUGGGUACUUCGAAAAACAUGUACCCAUACUAGGUACUUACCGGCAUAUGGUACUUCUGCAUACGUACCGGGUACAUGAAACACGUACCCAAAUUUUUUCUUCUUAAUUUUUGGUAUACCUAGACGUACUUAGUAUAUACCCAAGCCAUACCGUACCUCAGUUGAAAUAAUAUUUGCUUCUACUACAGAGAUAAAAUUCCUUUCGCUAUACUUUUUUUUUUUUAUUUUUAGUUUUAUGCUUCGCAUGAUAUUAAAAUUAAGCUAUGGUUUGCAAGUUAUUUAAUGUAUUGACGUUUAAUUUUGGUUUAUACCUUUACUUUUGGUAUUAAAUGUUAAUUGUAGGUUGGAUCUUAACAAAUUAAACCAUUUAAUCAAUUUUUGCGUUACUCUAAAUUAAAAAUAAAUAUUUUUUUACAAACAUACCAAGCCAUACCCAUACCCUACUUUUUUUAGAUUUUACUGUAUCGACAUACCCGUAUCGUACCAGUACCAAUACUCGUAUCCGUACCCAUGCUUCAUAGGGGGAGAUUGUUAGGCCUUUUGUAGUCGGCUAUUCCGUUGGAUAAAACUCCAUUCAAUUGUAAUCACAUUUGUUCUUUUGUUUUUGUGAGAUUGACAAUGCUUUAGAUGAGAAUCCAGCCCAGUUUGUGCUCAAGCAGAGAUAUAUGAACUCGAAAGGCCAAGACAUGCUUGCAGCUUCUCAAAGCCUCACAGACAAAUCCUGCUACAUCAUAAAGUUUCUUGAGCAACCAAAUUUGUGCUCGAGCGGUCUGAGUCAAUUACAGUCACUUAAAAGUGCGUUUUUAGAUCAGAUCUAAGAUCAUCAAGGGGUUUCUUCUUCAAUUACACUUUUCUAGAGAUGUUCAUCGGUGGAUUAUGGGAGAACAUGAGCUUGGAAACUUCGAUGGAUUCCAGAGUGGCUCAUUGUCGUGGAUUUGACAUUGGCAUUGUGGAUUCAACAUUUGGCGAAGCAAUUCUGAGGUGAAGAUGGUUUUAGAAGAGUUCUAGAAGAGGUGCGAGGAAUUUGAGGCAAUUCGGUGUGGAUUCGCUAG